rnacentral:lncRNA from 1 species
AUUUAGCAGUGAUCCGUCACACCUCAGAGCCCACACAGAGGCAGUAUGUUUAUCAGCACUUGUGGCUAAGUGUCCGUGCUCUCUCUCUGUAGGUACCACAGGAACAGGCUGGCACCACAGAUGGGGCACCUGCGUGAUUUUCAGGUUCAUUUCCUUUUGAGUACAGGACGUGGACAUCGGAGUGGUCACUUGUCAUCUGCCCCCAGCUCUUCAUGCACAGGCACCUGACAGCAAGCUAAGGCUUCUUGCUCUUCUCCUAUUCUCCUUUGGGAAAAAUCUUCCAGCCCAAACCAUGCAUGCAGCGUGAAAAGAAGAAGUAAGAGAAAGCUAUGACAAUUUUGUUGGUGUUGGGCUUCUGAAACGGCUCUACGUGGUGAUGUUGAAUCUGAAGUUCAUCCCUUUCCGCAAGUCUUUCCUCUGGUUUGUUUUAUUCUGCUUCCUCACUCUUCUCAGAGC